UUAAAGGUUAUCACAAUGGGAACUCUGAGCCUCGUGGAUUUGG
rnacentral:sRNA from 1 species